UGGGGAAUAUUGGACAAUGGGCGCAAGCCUGAUCCAGCCAUGCCGCGUGAGUGAUGAAGGCCCUAGGGUUGUAAAGCCCUUUCACCGGUGAAGAUAAUGACGGUAACCGGAGAAGAAGCCCCGGCUAACUUCGUGCCAGCAGCCGCGGUAAUACGAAGGGGGCUAGCGUUGUUCGGAUUUACUGGGCGUAAAGCGCACGUAGGCGGACUUUUAAGUCAGGGGUGAAAUCCCGGGGGCUCAACCCCGGAACUGCCUUUGAUACUGGAAGUCUUGAGUAUGGUAGAGGUGGAGUGGAAUUCCGAGUGUAGAGGUGAAAUUCGUAGAUAUUCGGAGGAACACCAGUGGCGAAGGCGGCUCACUGGACCAUUACUGACGCUGAGGUGCGAAAGCGUGGGGAGCAAACAGGAUUAGAUACCCCUGGUAGUCCACGCCGUAAACGAUGAAUGUUAGCCGUUGGGGAGUUUUACUCUUCGGUGGCGCAGCUAACGCAUUAAACAUUCCGCCUGGGGAG
rnacentral:rRNA from 1 species